GUUAACAUAAAUAGCUCAGCUCUGCUGAUCAGGAAAAAUCCUUUAUUCACAUCGAUUUAAUAUGCAACAAAAAAGAUGUAUCUAUGCAUGACAGAUGGUGAUUCAUGGGUGCGGAAGAAUAAGCUCAGUGACACGUGUCUUCAGCUCAUCCACUCGAGCCAGAACCCUGAGCCGCUCUUCCUCCAGAUACACUCUCUCCUGCUGCCCCAGUACUGAUGAAUCUUCAUGCUGACAAAGAGCAAAAGAAGAAAGAAAGAUGAAGUUUUCCUCCUCACUCUCUCUCUGUCUAUGAGAGUUCUGGACUGCCAGACUCACAGGGUCAGGGCCGGGUCGCCGAUCAGAGACCUCCUCCAUACCUGGAAACUGCCCCGCCCUCCCUGUGUCCACGCCAACUGAUGGCGUUGUCUCUUCCAGGGUGGAGUUUAGGAGUGCGUGAGAGCUGGAAUGAGCAGCCAAUAAAAAGGCCCUUCUCCCCAGUGUGUUGGCCUCCCCUCACCAGCACCUUGAUUUUUUUUUCUGCUUUUUUUGUUCUUUGUUUUUUAUUUCCUUUUUACAUAUUUAGAUUUUGUUACUUUGACUUUGA